UGAGGGCCCCUCUGCGUGUUCACAGCGGACCUUGAUUUAAUGUCUAUACAAUUAAGGCACGCGGUGAAUGCCAAGAGAGGCGCCUCC
ensembl:miRNA